GCCACUUCCCUGCCAGGCGACCACCCGCGGAGGCGCGCGCGCUAGGCCUCCCACCGCGCCUGCGCUGAGGAUGGACACUAGCUCGCCUUUCCUCGACGCCCAGCCGUCCGGGCCGGGGUGAAAAACUGCGUGACACGCAGUGAGCGUGGCGGCCAUCUUCGUCUUCUGGGCACGUCAGCUGAGCCGGUUAGGGCUGAAGAGGAGCGUUGCGCAAGCGCACCCAAGACGGUCACAGGUAACUCCCAUCUGACGAGCGAGGCGUCGCCGUCGUCGCCGGAAGUUUGGUGUUUGCGCCGCGGGGGAGGCGGCGGCCGCAGCAGAAGCAGCUGAGUGUCUCCUGAUACCCGGAUGUGAGGCGAUCCGCUGGCUCUAGUCUGACCCUCCGCCAGGCAAAAGGAAGAUUGUCUUUGGCUAUAGAGUUUUUUUUUUUUAAAGAUUACUAAACAUACAGGAAGUGAUAAGAAGUAUCAUUCAUCAGAAGCAUCAUUCAUCAAUCAACUUGAAGAAAAAGGUGAUAUAUUAUUUCUUUAAGGUGCUGUGUGAUGUGUUAAGAGCAUAUUAGAAGGAAUGGUUUUGUCUAAUUUUCAUGAGUUAUGGUGGCUGAGACAUCGAGUCUAUAUUUUGGGGCAAAAACUAAAUGGCAGCACAAAAGGAAAUCUAUAUUAAUAGAAUAUUUUGUUGAACAAAGGAGGUUAGAUAAGAACUGCAAACCAACAGACUCAGCAAACAAGGAAAGAAACGUGUUAGCCAUAAGACAUGUUUCAAGUGAAUCGAAGUCCAAUAACUGUAGACUUCAGAAGAAAAAAGUUUUCAAAAAUUUUAUCAAAACAGAUCACUGAUAAAUAACUCCUCCAGUAAUAGAGCUAGGCCUGAAACCAAAAUUAAUUUAAAAAUUAACAAAACAGAUUGAACCUGAAUUAAAUUUCUUUUGAUAAAAAAACUUAUUAAAAAUAAUCAAAAUUUUCCUCAAAUUUUUAUUACCUUGUCCAAAGUAAAGCAAGUGUCUUUUAGCAUUCAUGCCAGCUUUUCUCAUGUUCUAGGAAUGACAGAAACCUUACUUGAAGCAAACUAGUAUUUUUGUUGAAAAUGUAUAUCAGCAUCAGUUAAAGUUGAUUUUUCAGACCUGCUCCUCAGUAAUAAUACUAGCUAAUCAGCAUUCACGCCUACCAGGACACAAAAAUCCUCUUCAAAACUACUCAGAAAAGAAAGUCAUUACUCAGGAAUGAUGUCCAUUCAGGAGAAAUCAAAAGAGAAUUCCUCCAAAGUUACUAAAAAAAGUGACGAUAAGAAUUCAGAAACAGAAAUUCAGGAUUCUCAAAAGAAUCUAGCAAAAAAAUCAGGUCCAAAGGAGACUAUAAAAUCACAGGCUAAAUCUUCCAGUGAAAGUAAAAUAAAUCAGCCAGAAUUGGAAACACGCAUGAGUACAAGGUCAUCAAAGGCAGCAUCUAAUGAUAAAGCUACUAAAUCCAUUAAUAAAAAUACGGUGACUGUGAGGGGAUAUUCACAAGAAUCUACAAAAAAGAAAUUAUCUCAGAAAAAAUUAGUACAUGAAAACCCUAAAGCAAAUGAACAGCUUAACCGGAGAUCACAAAGGCUACAACAAUUAACAGAGGUUUCAAGAAGGUCGUUACGCAGUAGAGAAAUUCAGGGUCAAGUUCAAGCAGUUAAACAGAGUUUGCCACCAACUAAAAAAGAGCAGUGUAGCAGUACUCAGAGUAAAUCUAAUAAAACAAGUCAAAAACAUGUGAAGAGAAAAGUACUGGAAGUAAAGUCUGACUCUAAAGAAGAUGAAAAUCUAGUAAUUAAUGAGGUAAUAAAUUCUCCCAAAGGGAAAAAACGCAAGGUAGAACAUCAGACAGCUUGUGCUUGUAGUUCUCAAUGCAUACAAGGAUCUGAAAAGUGUCCUCAGAAGACUACUAGAAGAGACGAAACGAAACCUGUGCCUGUAACUUCUGAGGUGAAAAGAUCAAAAAUGGCUACUUCAGUGGUCCCGAAAAAGAAUGAGAUGAAGAAGUCGGUUCAUACACAAGUGAAUACUAACACAACACUCCCAAAAAGUCCACAGCCAUCAGUGCCUGAACAAAGUGAUAAUGAGCUGGAGCAAGCAGGAAAGAGCAAACGAGGUAGUAUUCUCCAGCUCUGUGAAGAAAUUGCUGGUGAAAUUGAGUCAGAUAAUGUAGAGGUAAAAAAGGAAUCUUCACAAAUGGAAAGUGUAAAGGAAGAAAAGGCCACAGAAAUAAAAUUGGAAGAGACCAAUGUUGAAAGACAAAUACUUCAUCAGAAGGAAACAAAUCAGGAUGUGCAAUGUAAUCGUUUUUUCCCAAGUAGAAAAACAAAGCCUGUGAAAUGUAUACUAAAUGGAAUAAACAGCUCAGCCAAGAAGAACUCCAACUGGACUAAAAUUAAACUCUCAAAAUUUAACUCUGUGCAGCACAAUAAGUUGGACUCUCAAGUUUCCCCUAAAUUAGGCUUAUUACGAACCAGUUUUUCACCACCAGCUUUAGAAAUGCAUCAUCCAGUGACUCAAAGUACAUUUUUAAGGACAAAGCUACAUGAUAGAAAUAUAACUUGCCAGCAGGAAAAAAUGAAAGAAAUUAAUUCUGAAGAAGUGAAAAUUAAUGAUAUUACAGUAGAAAUUAAUAAAACCACAGAAAGGGCUCCUGAAAAUUGUCAUUUGGCCAAUGAGAUAAAACCUUCUGACCCACCAUUGGAUAAUCAGAUGAAACAUUCUUUUGAUUCAGCAUCAAAUAAGAAUUUCAGCCAAUGUUUGGAAUCCAAGCUAGAAAACACUCCAGUGGAAAAUGUUACUGCUGUUUCGACUCUGCUCAGUCAAGCAAAAAUUGAUACAGGAGAGAAUAAAUUUCCAGGUUCAGCUCCCCAACAGCAUAGUAUUCUCAGUAACCAGACAUCUAAAAGCAGUGAUAACAGGGAGACACCACGAAAUCAUUCUUUGCCUAAGUGUAAUUCCCAUUUGGAGAUAACAAUUCCAAAGGACUUGAAACUAAAAGAAGCAGAGAAAACUGAUGAAAAACAGUUGAUUAUAGAUGCAGGACAAAAAAGAUUUGGAGCAGUUUCUUGUAAUGUUUGUGGAAUGCUGUAUACAGCUUCAAAUCCAGAAGAUGAAACACAGCAUCUGCUUUUCCACAACCAGUUUAUAAGUGCUGUUAAAUAUGUGGUUCUGCUCAUUAAUCACCACGAGUGUGGAUCUGAAGAAGAGUUUAUUACCUCUCUUUUUUUGAGUAUGUUUAACUUCAGAUACACACAACGUAGCUUCUCCUUCCCUAUUAGAUUCUUAGAAGGGCUGGAAGAAAGAAAGAAUUCUGGCUGAAUACCCUGAUGGCAGGAUAAUAAUGGUUCUUCCUGAAGACCCAAAGUAUGCCCUGAAAAAGGUUAACAAUUGGACUUCUUUAAACUUAAGAAUACUUCACCUGAAAAGUUGGUUGAAGGAAAAUACUUUGCGCCUGUUAUUUGAAAGUUUAGCUAAUAAUCUAUUUAAAAUAUGUUGACGAGAUUAGAGAGAUGGUUGACAAUGAUUUAGGUUUUCAACAGGCUCCACUAAUGUGCUAUUCCAGAACUAAAACACUUCUCUUCAUUUCCAAUGACAAAAAAGUAGUUGGCUGCCUAAUUGCGGAACAUAUCCAAUGGGGCUACAGAGUUAUAGAAGAGAAACUUCCAGUUAUCAGGUCAGAAGAAGAAAAAGUCAGAUUUGAAAGGCAAAAAGCCUGGUGCUGCUCAACAUUACCAGAGCCUGCAAUCUGCGGGAUCAGUCGAAUAUGGGUAUUCAGCAUGAUGCGUCGGAAGAAAAUUGCUUCUCGCAUGAUUGAAUGCCUAAGGAGUAACUUUAUAUAUGGCUCAUAUUUGAGCAAAGAAGAAAUUGCUUUCUCAGAUCCCACUCCUGAUGGAAAGCUGUUUGCAACACAGUACUGUGGCACUGGUCAGUUUCUGGUAUAUAAUUUUAUUAAUGGACAGAAUAGCACGUAAAACAAAUUCUUGCCUACACCACUAGAAGACAUCUAUUGAAGAGAAUGGAUUGGUUGCUGACCUUAACCAGGAACUAGGGCCAUUUUUAUUACAAUGAACUCAGGACUGGCAACAACCAUAUGGUUGUUCCAUUUUCAUAAAAUUGGAAACAAUGCAGUAAUAGCUUAUUGUUUUGUUUUUUAAAGAAGAUAUUUUAUUAUCUUUUACAGAAAUUUAUGAUUGAUGUAUUUUAUCUAUAGUUAUUUAGACAUGUUUACAUGCAGCAGAUAAUUGUUCAUAGUGGACUGAAAACUAAUGCAAGGACUAUGGUCUCAGUGAUAAGUAUAUUUUGAAGUUCUUAAUAUGGAAAUAUACCAGUGUAGCUUGGUACUGUAUUUUUUUAUAUUGAUCUGCUGAUACCAGUGAUAGGCUUAAAGACUGUAUUUUCACAGAGUGGAAACCAAUUUUUUUAGUUAUUGUUCAAGGAGGGUGCAAUAUUAAGUGUUUUGGAAUUUGAAGCUAAUUUUUAAAAGGCCUGAACUAUACUUUGAAGAAACCCCUAUAGAAAAGGAAAGCUCCAGCUAAAUAGGAAGAAUUAGAAUAUUGAGCUUUUUUUCCCUGAUUUUUCUCUUUCCUAUCUUUGAUGGAAGGAGGAAGUAGAAAGUGGUAAAGAAUUGAGGCUUUCCUUCUUGGAGAGCCGUAAAUGACAAGCAUUAGGAAAGGUACCCUCCUAGAUUCAUUAUUCUUUCAUUCUGGUUUCACUUUUAAAAUAAAUGGCAACUUGGCACACCUAGGCUGUUAACAAAUCUCAAAGAGGUUUAUAAAAACGUAUAGAAUACUUGGAAGCAAAGUAUGGAUGACUCGGUAUCUGCUUUGUUAUUCCUCAGAAAUACUGCACUGAGUAUAUGCCCUCAUUACUGGACUUCAUUUUGAUACUUGUCUAUCCUUCAUAGUGCCCUCUACUUUUAAAGGGUUUAUAUGUUGAAAAACUGCUGUGGCCUUUUAUGACCUGUAUAUAAUGUAGAAUAAAAAUAAUAAAAUACUUGAUAGCUUUUUCUAAGUGACCAAUGUACUAACUGAGAA